rnacentral:rRNA from 1 species
UAGGGAAUCUUCCACAAUGGGCGAAAGCCUGAUGGAGCAACGCCGCGUGUGUGAUGAAGGCUUUCGGGUCGUAAAGCACUGUUGUAUGGGAAGAACAGCUAGAAUAGGAAAUGAUUUUAGUUUGACGGUACCAUACCAGAAAGGGACGGCUAAAUACGUGCCCG